rnacentral:rRNA from 1 species
GUCGGCUUAUCAUAUCCUGGUUGAGAAUAAUCUUCCAAAGGUCGGUCUGUUCUACCGUUAAAAUGGUACAUGAGCUGGGUUCAAAACGUCGUGAGACAGUUUGGUCCCUAUCUGUUGUUAAAUAUGAAAAAAAAAAAAACUUUGCUUUAGUACGAGAGGACUGAGAUAAAUUAAUCAAUGAUUUGACAAUUAUUAAUGUAUAGUAAGUUGUUAAGUUAAAUUAAGAUCGGAUAAUUAUUGAAAAUCAUUUAAAAUAAGAAGCCUAUUUUUUUUUUUUUCUCAAAAAUAUAUCUAAGAUUAAGAGUUUAAAAUAUUUUUAUAAUGAAAAAAAUGUAAAUUUUUUUUUUUUGAGUUAUAAAAAAUAUAAUAUUUAAAUCUUUAAU